UCCGGUUAGAUUAUUCACCAGUAAAUAUUUUUAAAAUUAUGACAUUUUGCCAUCUACCCUAACUAGCUUUCUUAUUUUUCAUUUUCACCAUGUGGCUGGAGAAUUUUGCAGUUCUGACAAAGAUGCUCCACCCAGCCUUUCUGCAUUGAUUCACUGGCCCUUUGCUUGGGAAAGAAUUAUUUCAAAUUGACACAGCAGUCCUGAAUAAUCACUGAUGCUGAAUAUCCUGGUGAUCAAUAUCCCCUUCACCCAACCACAUUAUCUAACCAGAUACUUACACAGCAAGAGGCAGCACUUGAAGACCCACCUGCUCUGAAAUUUCCUCCUUCCUCCUGAGAGAAAGCUCCAGGAAUGAGCCUUUGGGAUGGAUCUUGUCCCUGCACCGACACCAGGGUCAGCUCUGGGGACAACUGCUGUGACAGAGCUACUGAGCUGCAGGGCCAUGGGAGCUGGGGCUGGUGGCAGGAAGGUGGCAUAGCAAGGGAUGCUCCAGCCUCACAGAAUUCACAGAAUGACCACGUUGGAAGAGACCUUCAAGAUCAUCGAGUCCAAGCCAGCCCCAAAAGUUCAACUAAACCCUGGCACCACAUCCAAUCUUUUUUUUUAAACACACCCAGGGAUGGGGACUCCACCACUCCCUGGGCAGCCAUGCCAGAACUUUCUCCCCCUUGCUGGAAAAACCUUUUCCCUGCUCUCCAACCUGUAUUUCCCUUGGUGCAGCUUGAGGCUGUGUGCUCUGGUUGUGUCAGUGCUGCUGGAGACAGAGCCCAGCCCCAGCUGGCUACAACCCUUUCCUACCUCGUGUUCCCACUGCUUGCAUUCUGCAGGAGCACUGGCUGAAUAUUCUAGUCAUACAGGUAGGGCUUGAAAGGACAGAGGAUUGGAGUUUUUUUGACAAUGUGGAGCAGCUUUCCACGUGGAAGCCCAGCAGCUCAGCUCUGCGCUGGUCACUGGUGGGGCUGCCAGCCUGUCCCCUGCCCCUGGGAGUGCCUGAACUCUGAAGGUGAUGCAGGACAUGGAGCCAUGGGGACUCACUGAGAGCUGGACAUGACCCCACUGGCUUUGCUGCAAACACAGCAUUUUGGGGGCCCUGCCAUGGGUACCAUUCCUGCAGCCACCUCUGGGUGCAGCACAAAGCUGUCAGCACACUCAGUGUCCCUCUCUCUGCUGUUUUAUCUCAUUUAACAGGAAUUAUGCAUCACACUUCAGACAAUUUGUGGCCAUCGUGUUACCCAGAGCUGCUCUGUGCAGUGUGCAAAGAUUUGGGGUGCAGGAUUUCCCCCCCAGCCCUCCUGUUCCCAUCCUGCCAGGCAUUUUCUGGCUCCAGGAACAUCCUUGCUGUAGUCUGUAAGGGCCACACUCCUCUGGACCAGGAGUUUCUAACCACAGCUCCACUGGGCAAGCCUGGUGCCACCAGCACCUCGUAAGGAUGAAACUGCUGCUGGCUGCAGUUUGUUUUGGGGAUCAACUGCUUUGGGGCUGUCUCCUGCUGGAUUUAUGUUCUCUGAAGAGUUAAGUACAUUAGUGUGGGUAAUCUCACUCCAUUACCUUCUAUAAAACUGAAUCUAUGAUUUCCUCCCUGGUGAGCAUUUACCAUAGUGAAAUAGGCUACUAUUUUCAUAUUUAACUCAUUGGUAACUCAUAAAACCAGCUCAAGUUGUCUGCCCCAAGGAGCAGAAGCUGUGGGACGGGCUGGAGGGUCAGAGCUUCUACAAGACCUGCAGUGUCAGGGCAGUGCUCUCAGCAUGGCCCUCACAUCCCUCUCCCAUCCCUCCCCCUGCCCCUUUGAAAUCCACAAAAAUCAGAAAUUUAUAAGGCUUCUUAAAAAUCCGAGAUGAAGCAAUUAAACCUCCAGACUGGAGGAUGUGAACCUUUAAAGGCCCUUUGCAGAAUAUCAAAAGAAUGAGAGGAUUAUAUUUAGCAGGUGUGACAGCCCACGCAGGACAUUUCAUUGUGAAAGGGGCUGACAUGAACCAGGAACCGAUACUUAAAUUAAUAUAAAACAUCUUGGGGGAAAGGUGUUUUCUUUUCUUUUUUAGGCAUUGGGAAAUCAUAAUGCUUUCUGGCUUCUUCAAAAGCGAGAGGUCCAAAUAUACAGGAGUCAUCUGGCAUGUAAAAAUAAAAAAGUCUGGGGAGGGGACACACACAUAAAAAUACUUUGGAUGAGGUUGGGAGGCAAAUGUUGAGGGCCAGGGGGCCAAGAAACACCGUUGUGAAUUUUCCUGCCCUGCCUCACCUGAAGAUUGCAAAUCCAAGGAUUUUCCCUCCCAGGGCAGAGGGGCAGGACUGGGACAGGGUGCCCUGUCUGGCUCCUGGCACUGCAUCAGCAUCCCCUGUCCUGCCAUCUCUCUUCAUCCCUUCCCUGGAGACACAACCCUUCAUUACAGGAGUGCUUUAUUCUGAACACUCCUCUUUCUAUUCCUAUCACACCCUCCCAAGCCUUGGAGUGGAAAACUUGACUCGGGAGUUUUUGUGGGGAGGCGUCCACGACUUUCGUGCUUCAUUCACUACUGAGUGCUCCUAAUUUUAGCCCAGCUGCUCCGUUUUGAUUUUUCCAAAGCUGCGGAUCUAACGUCCAGCAGCUCGGGUUGUUUUCACGCCCACUCACUGAGGGCCACACGAGUGAUGCUGCCCAUCGAGGGGAAGGUGGGGAGGGUGACAACACUGUCCCCAACACUGUCCCCAACACUGAAAAGUGACUCCAGAUCUCCAUAGGUGGGUGCUGCAGUAGCAGAGGGCACUCAGCGCCACUUUUGGAGUAUUUCAUCUCUUCACUCUGCUCAUUCAAGCACUAGGUGGUCACCUGGGAUCUCUGGGUUCUUAGUCACCCAAAAAACACACUUUGGGGUGGAAAGCUUAUCUUUCUGCUGGGGCUGCCCCAAGGGAGGGAGGCAUGUGGUUGCCUGGAUGUGUGCUAUCAGGUACUCUUUGGCACCGAGAGAGUUAAAGGUCCUCAGCACCCACCAGCCCUGGUCUAGGCAGUGUCUAAAAUCAGUCCUAGACCCGCUUUAUUUUUUCCUUAAAAACAGGAAAUGGAGCCCUGAAGGCUUUUUAACUGGAGAGGGAGAGUGAGGAGGGGGUAUACUCGCUCUGCCCAUACCCAGCCCUGAGCCUGACCCAGACUUGGGGGUCUCUGUGUGUGUUUUUUUUAUUCCUUCUCCCUUUUUUUCUCCCCCCCUCCUCCCCUAUUAUUUUGGCAGACUUUUUGGAAUGUCUGGGAGCUAAGGGCUUUGCUUCAUGGAGCAGAAUUCUGAAGCAAGAAAAAGAGAAAGUUAUAGACUAAACCACAGAAAUGUAAACAUGUCUGCAGCUAAAAUAACUCCACUUUCAUUGAAAACACUCCUCGCUUACAAUCAGACUUCUGUGUGCUAUGCUCAAUAAAACUGCAUGCUAAUAGCAACCAAUUAA